rnacentral:rRNA from 1 species
ACGGGUGCGGAACACGUACGCAACCUUCCUUCGAGUGGGGGAUAGCCCGGGGAAACCCGGAUUAAUACCCCGUAAUAUUGUUGAGUGGCAUCACUUGGCAAUUAUAGCUCCGGCGCUUGAAGAUGGGCGUGCGUCUGAUUAGGUAGUUGGCGGGGUAACGGCCCACCAAGCCUUCGAUCAGUAACUGGUGUGAGAGCACGACCAGUCACACGGGCACUGAGACACGGGCCCGACUCCUACGGGAGGCAGCAGUAAGGAAUAUUGGUCAAUGGACGCAAGUCUGAACCAGCCAUGCCGCGUGGAGGAUGAAGGCCCUCUGGGUUGUAAACUUCUUUUAUCUGGGAAGAAACCUGCGAUUUCUAUUGCAGCCGACGGUACCAGAUGAAUAAGCACCGGCUAACUCCGUGCCAGCAGCCGCGGUAAUACGGAGGGUGCAAGCGUUAUCCGGAUUCACUGGGUUUAAAGGGUGCGUAGGUGGGUUGGUAAGUCAGUGGUGAAAUCUCCGGGCUUAACUCGGAAACUGCCGUUGAUACUAUCAAUCUUGAAUAUCGCGUAGGUAAGCGGAAUAUGUCAUGUAGCGG